rnacentral:rRNA from 1 species
AACGCUAGCUACAGGCUUAACACAUGCAAGUCGAGGGGCAGCAUCAUCAAAGCUUGCUUUGAUGGAUGGCGACCGACGCACGGGUGAGUAACACGUAUCCAACCUGCCGACAACACUGGGAUAGCCUUUCGAAAGAAAGAUUAAUACCCGAUGGCAUAGUUCUUCCGCAUGGUAGAACUAUUAAAGAAUUUCGGUCAUCGAUGGGGAUGCGUUCCAUUAGGUUGUUGGCGGGGUAACGGCCCACCAAGCCUUCGAUGGAUAGGGGUUCUGAGAGGAAGGUCCCCCACAUUGGAACUGAGACACGGUCCAAACUCCUACGGGAGGCAGCAGUGAGGAAUAUUGGUCAAUGGACGAGAGUCUGAACCAGCCAAGUAGCGUGAAGGAUGACUGCCCUAUGGGUUGUAAACUUCUUUUAUACGGGAAUAAAGUGAGGCACGUGUGCCUUUUUGUAUGUACCGUAUGAAUAAGGAUCGGCUAACUCCGUGCCAGCAGCCGCGGUAAUACGGAGGAUCCGAGCGUUAUCCGGAUUUAUUGGGUUUAAAGGGAGCGUAGGCGGACGCUUAAGUCAGUUGUGAAAGUUUGCGGCUCAACCGUAAAAUUGCAGUUGAUACUGGGUGUCUUGAGUACAGUAGAGGCGGGCGGAAUUCGUGGUGUAGCGGUGAAAUGCUUAGAUAUCACGAAGAACUCCGAUUG